CUUCUCCCCUCUCUUCCCCGCUCCCCGACAGCUGUUACCAUGGAGCCCAAUUGGGUCUUGUGGAAGUAACCAUCCCGAAUCCUUAGGCCCUUCUUCAAAGGACACACGGGCUCAAACGCGACGUCUCAGCUGGACGGCUCUGCAGUGAGGGACUCCACGCUGGGCUGCGAUCACUGCCCCUCACAGCUCGCGGCUCCUGGCCAGGGCCCUCCACUCCAUCUGAUCCAUACGGUAUUUUAAGGCGACUCUGGCAAAUACGGUGAAUUCCAAAAGAUGAUUGUGAUUCUGUAACUUGGCUUGGGUUUGCUGAAGGAAAUCCAGGAUGGAUGGCCAGGGCACUAAUGACAGUCACCCCAGAUCAGCCAAGAUAGCACGCCCACAAAAUCUGCAGAACAACUUUGCAAGGGACCCGCAGCAUGCAGUAUCAGGCAGUGAACCCUGAGGAUGAAAGGCAACCAGGUGGGCCCAGAGUCUGCUCCAAGGAGCCAUCUUGAGUGUCUCCAAUCCAUGCAAAGGGAGGGGCCAGGUGCAGCUGAGAGGGCAAAACAUGGUUGGUUCAGUUGGGGAAUAAUUAUCUCUAGACUAAAGUUUUACUUGAUUACACCUAAAAAGAUAUUAAAAUCAGUCUCCAGAAGAAUCAAAUGCAUUUUAAAUAAUUCAAUUGCAUCUACAAAAGAGCCCAAAAAUAUCUAUAGGAAUACCAAAAUAUGCAACAGAACAAUAAAAAACAAAGUGAAAAUCACAAGGAUUGACAUGCACUCAAAGAUCACUAGACAUCAGAGUAGUGAAUACCAUCCAGGACCUGCUUUGGGGAUCUUUUAUUCUAUGGGUUGGACAAAGGUAUAACGCAUGUCCACCAUUACACCUAUGUUUCCUGCCCUACCAGUCCUCAGUGCUUGGCCUGUUCAUCUCUCCCUGACCCUCAUCCCUGGCAGCAAACUCUCUUUACUGUCCCCAUGGCUUUAUCUUCUACAAUGUCACCUUUUCAGAUUGGCUUCUUUCACUCAGUGGUGUACAUUUGAGGUUCUUCUAAGUCUUUUCAUGACUUGACAGCUCAUUCCUUUUUAGCAGUAAUAAUAUUCCAUUGCAUGAUGCUUGUAUGCUUUUAAGAAGUAUGGCAUACACGAAAGAGAGAUGGAAUUAAAAGGUAGCCAAAGCCUGGAAAUGCAAAAGACCAAAUUGAGCCCAAACCAUAACCUAGGAGAAAAAAUUCAAGUAGAGGAGAACUUCUAAGAAUUUCAUUUGGAAAAACAAGUAUCAAAGAUAAGAAAAAUACAACUACUGAGAUGAAAGAAUAAAAAAUAAGGAAACAAGCAAGAUCAAAACAAUAUGAUCACAGAACUAGUCAAUAAUUAAAAAGAACAUAAAACAGAGUUAAUGCAGCCCACGGUUGAAUUAUUAAAAAAUAGGAUCAGUUGGGGACGGUCACAGGGCACACAGAGGAGAGGCUGAGUGUGUUGGAGACUGCAGAGGUCCAGUUGGCUGGAUUCACAGGGCAGGUGAUGUACACUAAGGAAAAUGAACAUCACUUAAUAAGGACCCCAAAAAAUGACCGCCCAGACAUCGUUACCUAAAGUCCCGGACAGUGUUAAUUCCUAGCCAUUCGGUGUUGUUUCAAGGAUGAAGACAUUUUCUGGCCUGAGGGGCAAGUGGGGAGGCCUGGAGGAGCUGGGCUCUGGGGCAGUGCUGGGAGCCAGCUGGGCAGAGAGAGCAGGUGUCCCUGCACCGCGCCACCGCUCACCUGCAGCGGCCACCUAAAGCCAGGGCAGGUGGCAGGAUGGGCACCUUGUCCUGGGGGCUGCCUGGGUGGCUCAGCAGGUAGCUGGAGCUUGUGUCCCGGACCCGAGGUGGUACCCAGCCUGCUGCAGGCUGCCCAGGUUCAGUAAUUCGUGAGGCAAAGGAAAGCCAAGACUUUUCUUAAUCUUCUUUCAUUUGGGAUUGUAGUUUUACGUGAUCGGAGCCAUUAACUUGUUAAUUCAUUUAUCAUGACCCAGGAGAGCAGGUACUUAACAUGACCUCUUCCCCCUGCACCUGGGAAAACCUG